CAUGUGUGUUAGUGGAAGCGUCUGGAAAGGCGCGCGAUACAGGGUGACAGCCCCGUACACAAAAGCGCAUGUGCUGUGAGCUCGAUGAGUAGGGCGGGACACGUGGUAUCCUGUCUGAAUAUGGGGGGACCAUCCUCCAAGGCUAAAUACUCCUGACUGACCGAUAGUGAACCAGUACCGUGAGGGAAAGGCGAAAAGAACCCCGGCGAGGGGAGUGAAAAAGAACCUGAAACCGUGUACGUACAAGCAGUGGGAGCCCCACCACCAAAGCAUUCUCUGGUGUUGAAGGCCCUGCAAAGCAGCAUCGCGGUGGCGGAGCGUCGUUUGCGACGCCCAACACACAAAACAAGCGGUGAGUGCUUUGGGGUGGGGUGACUGCGUACCUUUUGUAUAAUGGGUCAGCGACUUAUAUUCUGUAGCAAGGUUAACCGAAUAGGGGAGCCGGAGGGAAACCGAGUCUUAAUUGGGCGUUAAGUUGCAGGGUAUAGACCCGAAACCCGGUGAUCUAGCCAUGGGCAGGUUGAAGGUUGGGUAACACUAACUGGAGGACCGAACCGACUAAUGUUGAAAAAUUAGCGGAUGACCUGUGGCUGGGGGUGAAAGGCCAAUCAAACCGGGAGAUAGCUGGUUCUCCCCGAAAGCUAUUUAGGUAGCGCCUCGUGAAUUCAUCUCCGGGGGUAGAGCACUGUUUCGGCUAGGGGGCCAUCCCGGCUUACCAACCCGAUGCAAACUGCGAAUACCGGAGAAUGUUAUCACGGGAGACACACGGCGGGUGCUAACGUCCGUCGUGAAGAGGGAAACAACCCAGACCGCCAGCUAAGGUCCCAAAGUCAUGGUUAAGUGGGAAACGAUGUGGGAAGGCCCAGACAGCCAGGAUGUUGGCUUAGAAGCAGCCAUCAUUUAAAGAAAGCGUAAUAGCUCACUGGUCGAGUCGGCCUGCGCGGAAGAUGUAACGGGGCUAAACCAU
rnacentral:rRNA from 1 species